rnacentral:rRNA from 1 species
GGGUCAGUAGGUUGGUCGUGCCACCGGUACGUACUGGUCUCACUGAUUCCUCCUUCCUGAAGAACCGUAAUGCCAUUAAUUUGGUGUUGCGGGGAAACAGGACUGUUACUUUGAAAAAAUUAGAGUGUUUAAAGCAGGCAUACGCUUGAAUACAUUAGCAUGGAAUAAUGAAAUAGGACGUUCGAUCCUAUUCUGUUGGUUUCUAGGAUUGACGUA